rnacentral:rRNA from 1 species
AGAGUUUGAUCCUGGCUCAGGAUGAACGCUGGCGGCGUGCCUAAUACAUGCAAGUCGAGCGAACGGACGAGAAGCUUGCUUCUCUGAUGUUAGCGGCGGACGGGUGAGUAACACGUGGAUAACCUACCUAUAAGACUGGGAUAACUUCGGGAAACCGGAGCUAAUACCGGAUAAUAUUUUGAACCGCAUGGUUCAAAAGUGAAAGACGGUCUUGCUGUCACUUAUAGAUGGAUCCGCGCUGCAUUAGCUAGUUGGUAAGGUAACGGCUUACCAAGGCAACGAUGCAUAGCCGACCUGAGAGGGUGAUCGGCCACACUGGAACUGAGACACGGUCCAGACUCCUACGGGAGGCAGCAGUAGGGAAUCUUCCGCAAUGGGCGAAAGCCUGACGGAGCAACGCCGCGUGAGUGAUGAAGGUCUUCGGAUCGUAAAACUCUGUUAUUAGGGAAGAACAUAUGUGUAAGUAACUGUGCACAUCUUGACGGUACCUAAUCAGAAAGCCACGGCUAACUACGUGCCAGCAGCCGCGGUAAUACGUAGGUGGCAAGCGUUAUCCGGAAUUAUUGGGCGUAAAGCGCGCGUAGGCGGUUUUUUAAGUCUGAUGUGAAAGCCCACGGCUCAACCGUGGAGGGUCAUUGGAAACUGGAAAACUUGAGUGCAGAAGAGGAAAGUGGAAUUCCAUGUGUAGCGGUGAAAUGCGCAGAGAUAUGGAGGAACACCAGUGGCGAAGGCGACUUUCUGGUCUGUAACUGACGCUGAUGUGCGAAAGCGUGGGGAUCAAACAGGAUUAGAUACCCUGGUAGUCCACGCCGUAAACGAUGAGUGCUAAGUGUUAGGGGGUUUCCGCCCCUUAGUGCUGCAGCUAACGCAUUAAGCACUCCGCCUGGGGAGUACGACCGCAAGGUUGAAACUCAAAGGAAUUGACGGGGACCCGCACAAGCGGUGGAGCAUGUGGAUUAAUUCGAAGCAACGCGAAGAACCUUACCAAAUCUUGACAUCCUUUGACAACUCUAGAGAUAGAGCCUUCCCCUUCGGGGGACAAAGUGACAGGUGGUGCAUGGUUGUCGUCAGCUCGUGUCGUGAGAUGUUGGGGUAAGUCCCGCAACGAGCGCAACCCUUAAGCUUAGUUGCCAUCAUUAAGUUGGGCACUCUAAGUUGACUGCCGGUGACAAACCGGAGGAAGGUGGGGAUGACGUCAAAUCAUCAUGCCCCUUAUGAUUUGGGCUACACACGUGCUACAAUGGACAAUACAAAGGGCAGCGAAACCGCGAGGUCAAGCAAAUCCCAUAAAGUUGUUCUCAGUUCGGAUUGUAGUCUGCAACUCGACUACAUGAAGCUGGAAUCGCUAGUAAUCGUAGAUCAGCAUGCUACGGUGAAUACGUUCCCGGGUCUUGUACACACCGCCCGUCACACCACGAGAGUUUGUAACACCCGAAGCCGGUGGAGUAACCUUUUAGGAGCUAGCCGUCGAAGGUGGGACAAAUGAUUGGGGUGAAGUCGUAACAAGGUAGCCGUAUCGGAAGGUGCGGCUGGAUCACCU